AUGAACGCUGGCGGCGUGGAUAAGGCAUGCAAGUCGGACGAUUUCCUUUUUGAAGAAGAUGCGAUUACAUCAAGUCAACUGAUAUUUUGGAGAUAGUGGCGAACGAGCUAGUAACACCUUGGUACGUACCCAAAAGUUUGGUAUAGCUCGCCGAAAGGCGGGGUAAUCCCAAAUAAUCCCUCUAUCUAUCGGAUAGAAGGGUAAAGUCGCAAGACGCUUUUGGAGCGGCCUAGGACCGAUCAGUUAGUUGGUGAGGUAAUGGCUCGCCAAGACGAUGACCGGUAGGGG
rnacentral:rRNA from 1 species